UCUCCUACGGGGCGCAGCAGUGAGGAAUAUUGGUCAAUGGGCGAGAGCCUGAACCAGCCAAGUCGCGUGAAGGAUGACGGCCCUAUGGGUUGUAAACUUCUUUUGUCAGGGAGCAAUUGGGUCCACGCGUGGGCUUAGCGAGAGUACCUGAAGAAAAAGCAUCGGCUAACUCCGUGUCAGCAGCCGCGGUAAUACGGAGGAUGCGAGCGUUAUCCGGAUUUAUUGGGUUUAAAGGGUGCGUAGGCGGAAUUUCAAGGCAGCGGGAAAAAUUCGGGGCUCAACCCCGUCGUGCCGUUUAAAAUGAG
rnacentral:rRNA from 1 species